rnacentral:rRNA from 1 species
CCCCUAGAUGUUCUGGGCCGCACGCGCGCUACACUGAACAGUUCAACAAGUCUUAACCUUGGCCGAUAGGUCUGGGUAAUCUUUAAACGCUGUUCGUGAUUGGGAUAGACCUUUGCAAUUAUGGGUCUUCAACGAGGAAUUCCUAGUAAACGCAAGUCAUCAGCUUGCAUUGAUUACGUCCCUGCCCUUUGUACACACCGCCCGUCGCACCUACCGAUUGAAUGGUCCGGUGAAAUCUCGGGACGGCGGCUUGGUCGCUUGCGUCCGACUGCUGAAACUUGAUUAAACCAUAUCAUUUAGAGGAAGGUGAAGUCGUAACA